rnacentral:rRNA from 1 species
GAUGAACGCUGGCGGCGCGCCUAACACAUGCAAGUCGAACGGCACCCCUCUUCGGAGGGAAGCGAGUGGCGAACGGCUGAGUAACACGUGGAGAACCUGCCCCCUCCCCCGGGAUAGCCGCCCGAAAGGACGGGUAAUACCGGAUACCCCGGGGUGCCGCAUGGCACCCCGGCUAAAGCCCCGACGGGAGGGGAUGGCUACGCGGCCCAUCAGGUAGACGGCGGGGGGCCGGCCCACCUGGCCGACAACGGGUAGCCGGGUUGCGAGACCGACCGGCCAGAUUGGGACUGAGACACGGCCCAGACUCCUACGGGAGGCAGCAGUGGGGGAUCUUGCGCAAUGGGGGGAACCCUGACGCAGCGACGCCGCGUGCGGGACGGAGGCCUUCGGGUCGUAAACCGCUUUCAGCAGGGAAGAGUCAAGACUGCACCUGCAGAAGAAGCCCCGGCUAACUACGUGCCAGCAGCCGCCGUAA